CCACUACAAUGAAGACAAUUCAUGUCGUCCACCAGAGGCCAAGCCGCCGUGUUCCGUCUUUGCCAUCACAGGGGCAUUCAUGCGCCCCAUCGCAGCCAUGCUAUCAGGAAUUCUGUUGAAAUGAGCUUGUUAAAGUCUUUGACGUCGACAUCAUUUAUCGAUCGGCUGCUGCGGAAAGAAAAUGAUAGGAUAUUUUACAAAUCCAAUGAAACACCCCAUGCAAUUCACUGGGUCUGGGAAAUGAAGGUGAAACCCAACUGCUACAGGCGCAGACGGCACUCCAAACGAUCGAAGAGGCUACGAAUGUCAAGCGCCGGUGCACGGGACCCAGUUGUGGUUUGUAAACAGGUCGAACAGAGCCCGGUGAGUCAGCAUCGUGCUCAGCCGGCAACCCGCGUGCUUCCUCUGGUCGAACGCCAGGCGAAGUCGGACGGGAUGCGGAGCAUGGUCUUUCGCCAGGCAGCCACGCUGCUCAGGCAGCUUCGGAUCGACCUAAGCGAUCUCAGCGAGAUACAACUGCCGCCUCUACAGUACUUUGCCCGGGAGCAGUUACUUCACUCUAGCGAACUUCUCAUCAAACGUCUCGUUUUGCGAAAUGUCCAUAUCGAUUUGGUCGACUCGGUGACGGAGAACCUCAUCACGAUGCAUCUUCGAAUACUUCAAUCAUGCCCAGCAGUUGGAGCCUGGUUGGCUGGGCAGCUUCACCGAUUUGUGACGGCGUUAUCCGAUGUGGCCGAAAUACUUGAGAUGAACCGGCCGAAUCCGGUUAAUUGGCGGGAACUCGCUGAUCGUAUGGAGGAGGUCGCUAAUAAGUUCGUCUACAAGUCGUGGGAUGUAAAGAGUUUCGUGCCAGCUAUGCGGACUCUGCGGGGAGACCAGUUGCUUGGCCAGGGUGGUUUCGGCUGUGCCUACAGAGGGCGCCACAUACCAACAAACCUUGAACUUUGUAUUAAGGUUGUUCCUCUCCAGCACUUCCAGUUGGCUAGACAUGCCUGUUCAGAUAAGCUAGUUGCAUCAGUCGCUCGCUGCAAAUUUGUCGUAUCUUAUUAUGCCGCAUUUGAAACCCGGACAGCUCAUAUAGCCCUUAUGGAGUUCGUCAAAGGAUCUGACCUGAACAAAUUAACAAAGGCGUCCCGAGUAUUGGCCGUGGAACAGGUGCGGAUGGUCGCUGCCCAGUUAUACCUCGGUCUCGAAUAUCUACACAUGCAUGGAUUUGUUCACAGGGACGUUAAGUCUGCCAAUGUACUCGUCACCAUGAAAGGCUUGGUGAAAUUGAUAGAUUUUGACACGUCAAAGGUAUGCUUAUCGCAUUACGUACGGGAUCGAGCUCUUGAAUGUUUCUUCGCUCGUACAGCGAGGGAGUUCCGAGAUCGCGAGAAGGCUGGUACGCUAGCAUAUAGAGCUCCGGAGGCAAUUCAGAAACAAGGGUAUGGCCGAGCACUGGACUGGUGGGCGCUCGGAUGCGUUGUGUUCAAGAUCACAACGGGCAGACUUCCAUUUCACGGCGACGACGCUGAACUAAAGCGGCGCAUUUGUGAAACUGACCCCGAAUGGAGUAGCCAGCGAUGUUCCGAUGUGGACUCAACGUGUCAGGAGUUCAUCAACGCGCUGAUGAUCAAGGAUCCAACGAAGAGGCUUGGCAGUAGCUGUUACAGCGAGAUCAGACAACACGCCUUUUUUGCUGGACUUGAUUUUGACAGUUUGUCGAAAGCUGACAAAUAUGAAACACUGUGCGAGAUGCCAAAGGAGAUCAUUCAAAUUCACAAUAUGUCUCCACUCGAAGCUAAGCAAAAACAGCCGAACCAACAGAAGAAGUUCGUGGUCACUCUUGCACAGUGUGAGGACGUCUUGAAGCCGCAUCGUCCAUUGAUGACAUACGUAUCGAGGGGCUUUGCGCGGGCAAUCGCGAGAUAUUCAACAGGGCUCCCAGAUCCACCGUCAGCGGAGCCCACACCUGAGUACACACUUUUGAGGUUCAAUGAAAAGGAGCACUUCGACCAGGUUACGGACAAAAGCGAAUACGUGAGCCGGUCCGAACUUCGAGGUCAAGGGCCCAAAGACGAUAGUACAGAACAAACAGUGGACACGAUAACCGACACAAUCGACCCGUCACCAAACUCCAGGAAGCCCACGCAGCCACCGAAUGUCUCUGAAUUGUCCCGACUAUCCUCAAAGAAAUACUCUAAGAGUGAUCUCAAAUACACUAGACAAUAUAAGCCAUCCCUUGAAAUACUGGAAUUAACCAUGCCGCGCAGUGGUGUAUGUCCUCAGAAGUUUGGCUUUUCGUACCGACUCCUAUCGGGUGUUGACGGGAGCGUCGGCUUCGUUUACCGAGUUAAGCCCGAUUCUGUAGCUUCGCGCGCCGGCCUCUUCUACGGGGACAUGAUAGCAAAGGUUAACGAUCGAAUGGUAGUUCCUAAGGACAACCCAAGGAUUCGUGAAAUUAUCCAUUCUUCUUCCUACGUUUCACUGGCUGUCUACGCCCAUAAUCCUUUCCGGCUGGCCCAGCUUCACAGAGAUAUCGCCCACGUUCUUAAGAUGGAUAGAAACGACGCGAAAGAUUUACGCCUCAUGUGUUUUAGGGACAAGUGUCGUUUAAGAGCGGGCUUCUCCCUAAAAACCUUUAUCAGUGCUGCCGAUGGCGGAACAUACUCGGCACACAUAUUUCACCGCGUUCAUCCUAAACUUAUGAAGGGCGAGAUGGAUAAUCGGCUCUAUGCAGGUGACCUUCUCCUAUGCGUCAACGGGAUACCGACCACAGGAAUGAAAUCACAAAAAGAGGUUGCGGACAUCGUGAAGCUUCAUCGAAGGAGAGAGUUAAUUUUAAGCAUUUUGCCCUGCUCACCUCUCCGAGUGCCUAAUUGAGGUUUCAGAUCAACUUCAAAUUCUACAGGAAGUGAUUAGCCGUUUCAUUCUACCGUUUCAGUCUACGAUGAAGUGAAGCCAACUACCAUGUCUUAGAACGGCUUCACGUCAACAACAACGUGGAUACUACGCGGAGAAGAGCGCCUUGAUAACGAACUAAAAAUUUUAGGCUGUAAAAUGUUCGUUGUAUGUAUACCUGACUAUGGUGACAACCAGCUAUGACUAAAUAUAUAACGCUUUACAUAAACGACAUAAAAAUAUGUGCUUUAAUUUCUAAGCACGUAAUAUUCUUAGGUUUCACGUAGUAUUCUUAGGCUUAGACAUGUGAGUGUGAUCCUAAA